rnacentral:lncRNA from 1 species
UUUGAUUACAGCCAUUCUAGUGUGGUUUUGAUUCACAUUUCCUUGUUGUCUUGUUGUGGAUGAGUAAGUUCAAACAAUAGAGAUGUGCCACACUCUGUGGCAGAUUCGAGUCUGUUUAUUAUAGCCAGCAGCCAAGAAGGGGCUAGUGCCCAGAAGUUUCCUCGGCAAUGGGAAGCAGUUUGAUUUCUCCUUUCAAAUCAUGCUUUAAGUUGGGGAGGGUUCAGUGGGGAGCAAGCAGAAUCUUACAGAAGCAGAACCAUACCAGGUUAGUGGAGCGGGGGGAGCACAAGGAAGUUUCACACACACUAGUAGAGCUACAAAACAUCCUGCAACUGCAGCAAGUUUACCACCAAGCGGGAUGUGGGGCUUUUGGGUGCUUUGUUCAUGUGCAAGCACUUUGUUCAAGCACAGGUACAAAAUGGCACUGAGGCACAAGAUGGAGCCAGGUUGGCUAACACAGACUAAGAAUGUUGAGAAUUUUUCAUAUGUGUUAUGGUUUAGGUCUAAAACCUCCCUCUAAAUUCUUCUGUGUACAGAGUUGGGGCUUUCAGAGGUGAUUGGAUCAGGAAGGUUCUAACUUCUCCAGUGGAUGAAUCCCCUGAUGAGACCAGAAUUUGAUGGCAUUACAGGGAAGAAAUGGAAGGUUGCCGUGGAAUGAGCAGCUUUGCUCUAGCAUGACCUUCUGCCCUGAUGUUCUGCUUUACCUCAGUCUAAUGUUGAACAUCAUAAAUAUUUAUAAUUUUUAUUGUUAUCAAGUGUCUUUACAGGUGUGAUAAAAAUACAUAAAUUCUGCUGCCAAGUGCCUGCCAGUGGACAGGCAGGAUCAUAAAAACACUAUGGUGUGUCUUCAUCCCCCAUAGUCACUGGAUCUGGUGCUGUGCCAGUUCUGGCUCUUCCCAAAGUCAAAAUGACCAGGAAAGGUGAGUGUUUUGAAUCAAUUCAGGACUUCAGGACAGCCACCACAGGGCAACUGAAGUCACUCAAGAAAGAGAACUUCCAGAAGUGAUGCAUAAGUGUG